UUUGGCCCUCCAAACCCAGCCUUGCAAGAUGGAGUGGCAGGAAGGGGGGACUUCCCCUUGAUCUGUGCUGUUCCCUUUCGGUUCCAGAGCUUCCAUCAGGACCCAGAGUGGGAAGGGAGACUAAGGAUAUCUGAAAAUCUUCACUGUAAACAAGGCCAAUUAUACACACACCAAUUACCUCAGUGUAAACAACCAAUCACACUAUAAUAGGGAGAACCUUUUGAGCCUGAGGAGAGGGCUUUGAAGUGCCUCUGCUCAGAGAUUGCCUAUUAAUGCAGGGGAUUGCACCAGCAGCACUAUUGGCUCUGUGAGUAGAGUGACAAUGACAAUGGAGCUAGGUGGAUUGGGAGUUGCAUGCCCUGAUACAACAAUACAGUAGUUAAAAUUCCAACAGCGAUGGAGCAGUAACCAGUGGCAACCUAGCUGUAGGCUUGGCUGUAUCAGUGUGAAGGAAUGGGAAUUUUUUGUUACAUAUAUGUGUAGUCAUUUCUUCUAUGGCCAGGAAACUGCUUGACCUGCACUUUGCUGACUGGUCACAUUCCCAGUAAGUUUGCAGCCUCCACUGACUUUAGGUCUCUCUAAGCCCCAACUGUCAUCUUCUCCUUCAAAGCACUACACUGCUCGUUCAGAAGCCCUGAUCUUGCUGUGGAUGGAAUCCACUGAGAAUCUCCCUAAUUUUGUGAGCUGUGUAUCAGGCCCUAUAGGGUUGAAUGUGGUCUGUUUGCAGGUGAAUGCUGUUCCCUGCGUAAUGCCGAGGGCUGCAGCAGGUUCCCCAGUCCUCUCCACUUCUAGAAGAGGAAUCAAACACAAUGAUUUCUUCACAGGGUCUUGUCCCCGUGCCACCUCCUCUCCUAAAGUUCCCUUAACAUUCAUUAUGUACAGCCCCUGUUCAGUCUGGGAUUGACGUGCUGGUUUUGCCCUCGUACGUUCAGCAGACCUGCGUCAUCUACCUCUAGAUGUGACAUAUUGGUGCAAUAAGGGCAGGCAUUUCAUCUGUAUGUGCAGAAGUUAAUUCCAGUUUUUUAGCAGUACCUACAUGAUUUCUCGCAUUUUCUGUGAAAGAAUACAAGACAUACCCAGGUUAACAUAAAUGUGUCUUAACUCUCAGCAGGGAGAGGAUUAUGUCAAUUUAGGCUAAUAGCUGCCAAAUAGCAGACACACAGAUACUCUUAAAUUGGUUUAAUUUAUGUGUCUGCUGGCCCUGACAAUUGGAAGAAAAGAUAAAUACACACAAAGCGUUCAAAGCUUGGGGCGUUGUGAUGCUAAUUGAAAAGUCACCAAAGGAAGCCUGCAUGGUGUGUGGGAAUCUUAGCGCAUGAGAUUAGUGGCUAAUUAGUGGCUGGGAGCUGGAGUGCACUCCUCUCACCGUGAGAGCAGACAGCUUGGCCCAUGCAAUCAAUUCUCACCCCUGAUACCAGCAAUGAAACACCUAUUGUGGGCAACAGACAGCAUGGUGAUGGGAAGACACAAAUAGUGCCAGCACUAUAGUAGGCUCUCGUAACAUGCACAGAAAGCAGUGUCAGAGAGGUCUAGGUAGCUUGCUGUGUCCUGAGCCACGGCAAAUAUACAGGCAUUUGAGAACUGACUUGUUUUUUUCUUUUUAACAGAUGCACAAAUCUCUUUAUCUUACUUUCUGCCUCUUUCAUGCCAUGUUUGCAGCAGAUGACAGAACAUGCUCCAGAGGCCCUGAGCUUCAAACUCUGCUUUAGACUCUGAAGUGAAUGCAUACAGGUUAUCAUCUCUGACAGCUGGGAGACUCGACAUGACACCUAAGGUGAAGCUAUGAUGAGACUAAAUCAUGUUAUUGAAUCAGAAGUGUCAUCCGAUUGUAUCACACACGGUGAGAAUGUGUAGGUACCAGAGUCCUUGCCUCGAAACACUUACAGUCAAAGCCAGAGAACUUGUAACAAGGAGGGUCAUAGUGAAGUAGGGACAUCCAAGUGCAAGGUCCUGCACCUGGGUCAGGGCAAGCCCCAGUAUCAAUACAGGCUGGGGGAUGAAGGGCUUGAGAGCAGCCCUGAGGAGAAGGAAUUGGGGGUACCAGUGGAUGAAAAGCUGUCAUGACCCAGCAAUGUGCACUCACAGCCCGAAAAGCCAACUGUGUCCUGGGCUGCAUCAAAAGAAGUGUGACCAGCAGGUCGAGGGAGGUGAUCCUGCCCCUCUACUCCGCUCUGGUGAGACCCCACCUGGAGUACUGCGUCCAGCUCUGGGGCCCCCAGUACAGGAGAGACAUGGAGCUGUUGGAGAGAGUCCAGGGGAGGUCACAAAGCUGAUCAGAGGGCUGGAGCAUCUCUCCUAUGAGGACAGGCUGAGAGAGUUGGGGUUGUUCAGCCUGGAGAAGAGAAGACUCUGGGGAGAUCUAAUUGUGGCUUACCAGUACCUGAAGGGAGCCUACAGGAAAGCUGGAGAGGGACUGUUUAUCAGGGAGUGGAGUGACAGGACAAGGGGGAAUGGCUUUAAGCUGAAAGAUGGUAGAUUUAGACUAAAAAAGAAAUUUUUUACAAUGAGGGUGGUGAGGCACUGGCACAGGUUGCCCAGAGAGGUGGUAGGUGCCCCAUCCCUGGACACAUUCAAGGUCAGGUUGGAUGGGGCUUUGGGCAACCUGAUCUAGUUGAAAAUGUCCCUGCUUAUUGUAGGGGGGUUAGACUAGAUGACCUUAAAGGUCCGCUCCUACCCAAAUGAUUCUAUGAUCUGUGCUAUUUUGAAUGUUCUGAUUUAUAGCUGUAUUUGUGCAAUAAAGCCCAUUUUUUAUUUUAGUGCAUUUUGAUGUAGAAGCCUAUGAAAUCUUACAGAUGUUACAGUAAGAGCAGGCUGCCUUUCUGUGUAUGCUUCUGUGAGGGAAUGUCUUUUCUGUGCAAUUAGCUGGGAGGAUUGAGCUUUAUAAUGGAGCAGUUUGGUCUGAGCCGCUUUCCCUCGCUGGCCUGUUCAGAAAGUGCUAAGCAGGGCAAAGCCACCCAUCUCUACAGCCUUACAGGAUGUCUGUAACAAGCUGGUGCCUAUGGCUGUGUGCAGAGACCCUCCUGCUCUGCAGGAGCUGAUCCUGUUACGCUCCACAGAGCAAGUCUGAACCUGGCGAAAUGAACAGGAAAUGCCAGUUCCAGCCCUCCCAGAUGGCUCCGGGCUGCUUUGUACACUAACUUUUUCAGCCUCCGGAGGUUUUGCAUAUUAAUUCCUCACCAUCCAUAAACUGCUUUUGGAUCAGCGCUGCGCUGCCGAGAUCUUGGAAAGCCACCGCACUCGUGUGAUUCUGGAGACAUUGGCUACGCCGUGUUUAUUGGGCUGCCUGCUCUGCUCUCCUGGUUUGGUAAUCCUCUGCUCUCCUGCAGGUAUUAACACGUACAAGAAAGCUUCAUCACAAUAAACAAUAGCCAAACAUGCCACUUCUUUUUCCGUCUGUCAAAGAUACCAUCAUACUUUUAAGUCGGUCCCAGCGAAAAUCAUCAGUGGGGCUGCAGAAAGGUCAAAGGUUUGCUGGUUUAGGAUUUCGUGGGAAUAUAUGCUUGUUUGGACUUGGCCCAAGAGCUUCGUUUACCUGUUUGACAGGUAACAAUUAGUGAGUAAUAGCUCUGCCGGCUGGAAUGCGGCUGCGAGGGCCAGCGGGCGCUGGGUUACCUGGUGGGCAGGUGUGGGUGCAGCGCCCAGAUAGGUAUGUGCAUGCACAGCAUUCCUGGGAAUCAGUUUUCCCUUAAAGAUGCAGCGAUGACUGCAGGGCACAAAAAGGCUGGGCUUAGCCCAGGCUCGAAGAUGUUAAGCUGUUUGCAAGGUAAAGAAGUAAAGUAAAUAGUAGAAGAGAAGAGGAGCUGAGGAAAGGGUUGUGAGAAGCAGUUGCCCCUUUUUUGCCUUGCCUAGGGAGAAGAGAGUUUUGAUUCUUCCCUGAGAAUCUCAGUAAUGCAGAAUUCAGUGCAAACACAGUGUCAGGGAAGAUAAAAAAGAAGAGAAAUGCUGAGAUAGGGUAGAACUGAUUUGAGAAGUGCGCGUCUGUCUAAAAGUUAGGCGGACAGGUGGCCAGCAUGGCUCAGGACCGGUCCGUAAGGAUUUCGUGCGCAUUGCUCCCCAGCGGCAGCCCAGCAUAGGCGCAGCAGUGCACCACAGAGCUGAGAAGCUCAUUGGCAUGGUAUAAAUGUGAAGCAGGGAAACCCUCUGUCAAUUGGUUUAGAAAUGGUUAAACAGCUUAUGUGCAGUUACGCUCAAAUCUGCCAUUAGCAAGAAUCCAAACCUCAUGAGUUUAUCGAAUAAAACCGCUUUAUCUGUGGCAAACGGUCCCAUUUCCAGCUCCUGCAGCAGUUGGGGAAGAUUCCUGCAUCAGCCCCUCCCUACAGUCGAGUCCCUGGAGGGAAUCUGGUAUAAAUUAUGUAGACAGUCAGGGACUUCACAGGUGUUUUUAGGAUGUUUGAUUUUUUUUUUACCACAGCAGGUGACCCUUCUGUUUUAGGAAAGGAAAGGAUUGCUCAUUCUUUUCAUAUUUUAUUCCUAUUUGUGAACAGGCUUCUGGGUUUGUGUAUAUCCACUUAGGUGUUUCACACUUGACAAUUGAGCUAUUGUGUGACUUUGGAGAAGCCACAUCCUCUUUCCUGGUCUCUCGAUUUUCACCUGCAGAGUUGGAGUAGUGAGUCUUGUGUUAUUAACCAUGAGAGACACAGAUGAUAAUUACUGCUAGUUUUAAACACAUAUGCUAUUAUAGAU